rnacentral:lncRNA from 1 species
AGGUCCUUCCACUUUAUGAUGUCACGAUACCCAGCACUUGCCCUUCACAGUACUUGACACAUUUGGAUGACUAUUUCCUGAAUGACUUUCUCACUCUCUAGAUGAAAAAUCUGUAAAACCAAUGAUCAUGCCUCUCUUGUUUACCAGCUUUUAUUCGCCCAGCAGCCAGCAUAGUGCUUAGAACAGUAGGCACCCAGGAAGUAUGUGGUUCAGACACUUAUUCUGGCUUGUGUUUUAUUUCAGCAUACAGCAGUGUUGGGUUAGGUGGGGUUGGUGUAGUCAUCUGGUGAUGUGGUUUACUUAAGCAGUCAAUGAGAAUGUUCUGAUCAAGAUAAGACUUCACACUUCUCCCACUGACUUAUUGAUAUCAAGGUCCCUUCUUGCUCUAUUCUGAAGACAGCUCCUACGACACUAAUUCAAGGAUCAGUGGCUGGAUUCGAGAAAAAAUGGAAAACGGUUGUUGCAAGGGUGUCAACUGCUUGGAAUGCUGCCGGCAACCGGGUUCUGAGACUCCCUAGGCUUUCUGAAAGCAUCUGAAUGUCUGUCCAACUGCAAGCUACGUCAUGGAAACAGGACCGCCCUGAGGGGCUCUCCAAUAUGAAUGCCAGGGCUGCCAGAUUCCACAGACAAGAAUAAAGGGCAUCCAGUGAAUUCUGAAUUUCAGAGAAGCAGCAUUUUUUUCAUUAAAAGUGGAUGAAGUUUUGUGUUUGCUCUACUGACCUGAAGUGAGGAACAACCACAUACAUCUUUGUCUUCACUCUGUCCAGCUGUCAACUGCAUUGUUCCCUCACGUCUUCCUGCAAAGUACCAUUAUUUCCACACCUUAAGAAUUAAAGAGUGAAGAGAAAACGACAAAAUGUUCUUGUUUAUCAGGAGAUGGGGGUGAGCUGAGCUUUCCACAAGGUCCUGAAUGGAUGAGAAGGACCCAAAACAUAUGGAAAAUAUGGAGAAUAGGGUAUAAGUAAUAAAAAUAAAAAUAAAAUAAAUAAAAUAAAUUGGGAAU